ACAUGAUUUAGUGGAGGGUGGUUAGAGUUAUGGUAGUAUGGUUAAGUUGGGGUUGGACUUGAUGACAUUUAAGGCCCUUUCCAACCAGAGUGAUUCUAUGAUUCUAUGAUUCAAUGGAUGGGAGGAAGUGAAGCCGGGACACGGAGGUGGGAUAUGGGUGAUGGGUCCCCAGCCCUGAGAUGGGUGCAUGGGGGCCCUCCUCCAUGCCCAGGAGCCAUGUUGCUCCAAAUCUAGAAAACAAUCCCAACUGAAGUUUUUUGUGGAAGAAUAGAAGAGCAUGCUUCUUGUAUUUAAGUCUGCUAGGCUAAAAGUGCUGCCGAUGGGAAAUUAAAAUGGAGCUGAAGCUGAAGUUAGAAGAAAAGCACAGUGUAUCCGGCGGCUAUUAUUCAGAGUCUUUCAUGAAACUCGCGUCCAAAGAGGCUUCCAAAACCUUCCGUCUACUGUAACCGUAUCGGUUUCCUGCUUUGUCAGAAUGGCACAGGGAGGAAUUCUCUGAGCUUCACCCCUCAGCCUUGACAAGGUGCGAAUCUGAGAAAUCCACCAGGGCGUCCAUCAGGACACGCUGGGAAUCCUAAGGUCGAUGCGGGGGAAAGGCAUUGUGACAUCACAGAGCAGGGCAUGACAUCAGACUUGGUCAAGUCACGCCGGCAGCCUCCCCCAGCUCAGACACUUGGAGCAACAGCUCCGUCCUGGUGGUCACUGCUGGAGCUCUGCUGUGGGUCACAGCCAUUUGUGUGUAGAGAUUGUUCUUUGGGAGAGAACAGGAUGAAGCUCAGCCUGACUCUCUUCCUGGCCAUGGCUCUGAGCAUGUCUCCAUUUGCGGGACGUGGCCCAGGCUGUCCCAGCUAUCUCAGCUGGGUCUGCAGUUGCGACCAAAAGGUCGUUCCUGAGGAGCAGCAUCGGGUGGCGACCAAGAGCCAGACCUCCACCCGGCGCUGCUGGCUAGGCCUAACCUCCUGUCCCAUCAGGGUUGAGGACAAGAACAACAGUGAGAUCCUUCCUGAAGAGCAACCUGUGGAGGAGACCAAGAGCCAGACCUCCACCUGGCGCUGCUGGUUUGGCUUAACCUCCUGCCCCAUCAGGACCAAGGACACAAACACAAACCUUCCUGAGGAGCAGCAUACGGAGAAAACCAAGAGCCAAACCUCAUACUGGUCCUGCUUGCUUGGCUCUUCCCAGUGUCCCAUAUGGGUCUGGUACAAGGGCAGCAAAGUUGCUGUUCCACAAGGCCCAAAGCAGCAGUCCCCAGGCACCAAGCAGAAGGCCUACAGCUUGCCUGGCAUCCUGGGCCACCUUUGGGACUACCUUAUGCAAAGAGGGAGAACCUGGCUCCUUACAGCUCCCUUGACAAUUUUCUCCAUUCUCUGGCUGCUGACAACUGCCCGUGCCCACUGGAGAAGAUUAAGAAGACCUCGGGGACAGAGAACGGGACAAGCGGACCCAGCUUCCUUAGGAACAGAGGAAACGGACAACCUAAAUGCUCUUGACCUGCUCUGCCAGAUGGACGCCUACAUAACCUUAAUGGAGAGACUUAUGACGAUCCUCAUGCAGCACCAUGUGAAAAAUGUCAGGAGCCAGCAGUGCAGGAAGACAGCGCACAGCACGGGGGACAGGAAGAGCCUCUCCACAGACUCCUGAGGGAGCUGGCAGAGGUGACUGCCAAGCCGCUCUCGGCCAUCUACCAGCCCUCCUGAUUAACUGGAGAGGUCAACAAGGCCAAGUGGCGGGUCCUGCACUUUGGCCACAACAAGCCCAUGCAGCGCUAUAGGCUUGGGGAUGAGUGGCUGGAGGACUGUGAAGAGGAAAGUGUCCUGCGGGUGUUGGCUGAUGAAAGGCUCAACAUGAGCCGGCACCGUGCACUUGCAGCCCCCAAGGCCAAGCGUUUCCUGUGCUGCAUUAAGACAAACGUGAUUAGCAGGUCAGGGGAAGUGAUUCUGCCCCUCUACUCUGCUCUCACAAGACUCCACCUGCCGCACUGCAUCCACUUCUGGGGCCCCCAGCACAAGAAAGACAGCGGAGUGGGUCCACUGAUGCUGAGCACCAUGCCUCCAAGUGGCUGUGCUGACCAGGCCUUUCUCAAUGCCCCAUUCGGCUCUGGAACAAGGUCAGCAAGGCUGUUCUUCCAGAUGGCCCAAAGCUGCAACCCUCAGGCACCAAGUGGAAGGCCUUCAGCUUUGCAAAAUCCCCACUGUGGCGGAGAGAGUUGGAGAGGGACAACAACAGUGACAGCUCAUCAGGCGGAUGCAGUCCUGCACCGGGUCUUCAUGGGGGGUCCCAUGAAUAUAUCGAGGCAGUGUUGCUGUUGUGACACAAUGCAACCCCCGGAAAAGGAUGAACGUUCACAGCAAAAAAGACUCAGCCUUCAUCCAACGACUACCAGAGACCCCCACCACAUCUUUAGGACGCGUGCUUAAGAGGGUGAUACAACAUGUCAGUAAUUUCUCAAAACUCCAGCCCAUUUUUUUGGAAUGUAACAAAUAUGUCUAUGUUAUGUCUUUAAAUAUGUAACCACGUCUGUUCUUGGUGUGUGCGAGUAAGGAAUUAUCCCCCUCACACACGGUGCCACAAUAAAUAUACCUACUUUAAAAUCUUAUGUGGGUUAUGGACUUUGAUUCUGCAUGUUACCAGUAUGCUAACGUGGUGAGCCUGCAAGCUUGCUUGGCAGCACUGAGCAGCAGCAGGUCAACCAGGAUGAUACUAAGGGCCACCAACUGCCUCCAGCUAUGAGAGACUGAACGGCGCGGGUUGGGUAUUUUGGUCUCCAUUGGGCCCUUUGAUGUCAAUGGUGACCUCUGGAUGCUGUGAGGGUACACGGCAGACCCAGCUGUUUGUCAUAGAAUCAUAGAAUGGCCUGGGUUGAAAAGGACCACAAUGAUCAUUGAGUUUCAGCCCCCCUACUGUGUGCAAG
ensembl:lncRNA